AUUGAACGCUGGCGGCGUGCUUAACACAUGCAAGUCGUGCGAGAAAGGGGGCUUCGGUCCCUGAGUAGAGCGGCGCACGGGUGAGUAACGCGUGGAUUAUCUACCCAGAUAUUCGGGAUAACGGCGGGAAACUGCCGCUAAUACCGGAUACGCUCCAAUUUCGGUUGGGGGAAAGGCGGCCUCUGCUUGCAAGCUGUCGUAUCUGGAUGAGUCCGCGUCCCAUUAGCUUGUUGGCGGGGUAACGGCCCACCAAGGCAACGAUGGGUAGCUGGUCUGAGAGGAUGAUCAGCCACACUGGAACUGAAACACGGUCCAGACUCCUACGGGAGGCAGCAGUGGGGAAUAUUGCGCAAUGGGGGAAACCCUGACGCAGCGACGCCGUGUGAGGGAAGAAGGCUCUCGGGUCGUAAACCUCUGUCGGGAAGGAAGAACCUCUCAGGGCUGAACAAGCCCUGGGACUGACGGUACUUCCAAAGGAAGCACCGGCUAACUCCGUG
rnacentral:rRNA from 1 species